UCUGCGCCUCUGGGAGGGAGAGAUCUUGGCCACGAUUUCUGCUCCUUUCAGAGCACCUCUCGCUGCCUUGAGGUGCUGGAAAUGGGAAAUCCAGCCCCGCGGGGACCCUUCCCUCACGCAUUUAUUUCAUCCACGACCACAUCUUGGAUCGUGCUCGUUCGCCACGGGAGAAGGUGCCAAAUUGGCUCGCGCCCGCUCGGUGCCUGACACAAGGGCAGCUGGAGGCAAUCAGGGAGCAGGGGGAGCCUUUUCAGCCUUUUCCUCUCCAAAACAAGCAGAUACAGCAGCGAGGGGGGGAAAAUCUGGCUCCGAGCAGGCAGCCAGCUCGGAGCCAGGCGGCGAGGCUGUACAACCCCCGUCUCCCUCUUUGUUUUCUCUAAUUGCACAGCCAGGCCUCCAGGGCACAGCCUGUUUCUAGCCGUGCCUUGGGACAAAGCCUGGUGCUGUGGGGCUGGGACGUGCUGACCCGGGAACAACGGGGAAGGCGUCCUUGGAAGAGGGACCCGGCUGGUUUGGGCUUCGCUGGGGAGCGACGCGGGUGCCCAGCAAGCUGCUGCUCGCAGGGGAUGCUGCUCAUGGUGCAGAGCCCCUGGGCAACCGGAUCUCCUUUUGCAACUGCUGCCUCGCCUGCAGCUGGCUCCUCAGGGCGUCAAGGCGGAAUUACAGCCCGGCAGACAAAGCCUGGACGUAAUCUCCCCCGCACCAACGGCGUGGCAGGGGGGGGAAAGCGCAGGGAACGUUCCGCAGGGCGGGCUUCAAAUGAGGCGAGCCGGGGUUCAGGAUGUACGCCGAGCUGCUUCAUCACCGCCCCUAAUGGCUUAACCACCAAAAUCCAUAGUCAUAAAUCAAAGCAGGAGCGCCAGCGGCCUCUGCUCGGCUCCACGGGGCAGGUUAUGUGCGUGCGCUUCUCCUGCAGCUGCCGGGGCUCGGCCUCGGCGUUUGCUGAGCCCGAGGAGAGCUGAUACGAUCAGAUCUGUCUGUCUGCCUCCGAAGGAUUAGCUGAGUCAACCGGGAAAGGGCUGAGCUCGUUCAUCACGCUCUUUUCGACACUGAAAUGCGCCCUGAAACACCUGGAGACCUCUGGGAGGUGCCAGCAGGUUAAAUCCCAGCUGGGACCGGAGCCCCCCACCCCUCUCCCCCAGACCCCUUCCAGGAGCACUGGCGGCUCCCUGCAGGACCACGCGAGGCCGGCGGUGCAGAAUCGUGCCCUGUAGCGCUGCUGACAACACCAGACUCUCAGCAGCUCCUCCGGAACGACAUUAAACUUAAACCAAAUCGCGUUGUGUGUUAGAGCGCGGAUGCUUGGCUGCG